UUGCCUCAGUAGCGGCGAGUGAAGCGGCAAAAGCUCAAAUUUGAAAUCUGGCGUCUUUGGCGUCCGAGUUGUAAUUUGAAGAAGGUAUCUUUGGGCCCGGCUCUUGUCUAUGUUCCUUGGAACAGGACGUCACAGAGGGUGAGAAUCCCGUGCGAUGAGAUGACCCGGGUCUGUGUAAAGUUCCUUCKACGAGUCGAGUUGUUUGGGAAUGCAGCUCUAAGUGGGUGGUAAAUUCCAUCUAAAGCUAAAUAUUGGCGAGAGACCGAUAGCGAACAAKUACAGUGAUGGAAAGAUGAAAAGAACUUUGAAAAGAGAGUGAAAAAGUACGUGAAAUUGUUGAAAGGGAAGGGCUUGAGAUCAGACUUGGUAUUUUGCAUGCUGCUCUCUCGGGGGCGGCCGCUGCGGUUUACCGGGCCAGCAUCGGUUUGGAGCGGCAGGAUAAUGGCGGAGGAAUGUGGCACGGCUUCUGCUGUGUGUUAUAGCCUCUGACGAUGCUGCCAGCCUAGACCGAGGACUGCGGUUUUUAACCUAGGAUGUUGGCAUAAUGAUCUUAAGUCGCCCGUCUUGA
rnacentral:rRNA from 1 species